rnacentral:rRNA from 1 species
ACGAACCGUCCAAACGUUAUUCGGAAUCACUGGGCUUAAAGGGUGCGUAGGCGGCUCGGUAAGUUGGGGGUGAAAUCCUACGGCUCAACCGUGGAAUUGCGAUCAAAACUGUCGAGCUUGAGGGUGAUAGAGGUAAGCGGAAUUUCGGGUGGAGCGGUGAAAUGCGUAGAUAUCCGACGGAACACCGAUGGCGAAAGCGGCUUACUGAGUCACGACUGACGCUGAGGCACGAAAGCUUGGGGAGCGAACAG